rnacentral:rRNA from 1 species
UCCCUUAGAUGUCCUGGGCCGCACGCGUGCUACACUGAUGCAUACAGCGAGUACUUUCCAGCUCCGCGAGGCAGCUGGUAAUCAGCAAUAUGCAUCGUGCUGGGGAUAGAUCUUUGGAAUUAUAGAUCUUGAACGAGGAAUUCCUAGUAAGCGCAAGUCAUUAGCUUGCGCUGAUUAAGUCCCUGCCCUUUGUACACACCGCCCGUCGCUCCUACCGAUUUCGAGUGAUUCGGUGAACCUUUUGGACAGCGUCUGUCCUCGUGUCAGAUGCUGAAAGUCAAGUAAACCAUAUCACUUAGAGGAAGGAGAAGUCGUAACA